rnacentral:rRNA from 1 species
CGUAAGAGGCUAGUGUUAUUCAUCUUAAAUAGGUUUAAAGGGUACUUAGACGGUAGAUUUAUACCCUUUAUAUAGGGACACUUUUACUAGAGUUUUAUAUGAGAAGGUAGUACUUAAGGUGUAGGGAUAAAAUUCUGUAAUACCCAGGGGACUGGUAAAGGCGAAGGCAACCUUUUAUGUAAAAAACUGACGUUGAAGGACGAAGGCACAGAGAACUAACAGGAUU